CUGCGUUACGCAAGAGAUAAUAACGACCAUUUCAGAAGAAAAUAAUAAUCACAUCAAAAAUGUUUUAACACAAAGAUCUUUCAAAACUGGUUAUUACUGGGCCUUCACGAAUGCAAUGUAUGAAACUAAACUUGCUCAAAUAACUGAAUCAAGUGAAAAAUCUGAUGAAGUUAUAAAAGAAAAUGAGUCGAGCAGUUCUGGUAAUGAGAUGGACAAACAGAGAGAAUCUAACGUAAGUGGACCAGUGUCCGAAUUGGAUACGUUAAUGUUGGACAAAAUUGUGGGUAGAAAUGGAUUCUUCCAUAGCUUACAGGCAAAAAACACCCCCCACGACAUUCUACGCGCGCAAUACCUCAGUACAGUCCGCUGCUGGUAUCUAUACCAGGGCACAAGUGACCCCACUCGCUCGCAGCACUUUGCCAGACAAGUGGCCAAUUCACUCGCCCGACACUGUCUUGACCCUGUCAUGGAUGAUUAUUAUAAAUACGAUGAGAAGAUGUUUAAUGAGAGGAACUACUCCAAAGAGCCCUGGAGUGUGAUCUCCAGCCAGGCGUCCCUACUGCACCUGCUCAAUACUUUGGUACAGAACUCCGCGUGGGAUCUAUCUGCGCACGAGUGGGAUUUCAUCAAUAUUGUCUUGUGUUCAAUACUCAACUCGCUUGCGAAAACACCAAGAUUCGAUUCCACUAAGUUCGCGACCAUAUCCCGUCCAACCCUCUCGCUACUAACAUCAGUAGCGCGCUUCGUGUCCAGCAUCCGCCAGGAAUGUGAGAAGCGCGAGCCGACCGCGCACGUGGCGGAGUUGCCGAACGAGUGGCGCGACAUCUUCGCGCCCGAUGCCUUCUCCAACGUCAUCGCUUUGUUGCUCCAUGUUCUGAAAUCAUCUCCAAACUACCACCUAACCAUAAACCACGUGGCAAUACUAGAAGCACUGCUAGCUUCGACUCCAAUACUGAACUGGGACCAGCUCCCCAACCCGCUGAAACUCAGCACAUACUCGCUCCACAACCUGGCGUCGCUCGCGUUCCGUGUGCUAGCACAGGACACGCACUAUGCGUACCAGUUUGUAGCGUAUAGCGUGUUGAAAGUUAUCGCUAAGCCUAUGGUUUUGGAUGAUGUGGAAAAGCUGAGCCAACUGUGCGAGCGGCGUGAGAGGGAGGGAGACGACGACGAGGAGACUAUUUCCCUCUCGCUCGCACAGUACUACGACGCGCUGCGCGACACGAGCAUGCUCGGCGAGCCGCUCGGGGACGAUAGACUGCACAUAUCCCGCGCGUUCGGUUACCUGCUCCAAAGUCUAGCGGUGUUCAGUCAGAGCCUGCUGGCGAGAGGCGAUCUUGUACAUCAUUAUAUCAACUCGCUCAGUGAAAGUGGUAUAGUAUCUCCGGUGAUAGACACUACACUGCGCUACGUGUCGAGCUCGCUGCUGGCGGAGGGCGGGGAGCCGCCCGCACACGAACUGGCGCUGUUCACUGCCGAGCCGGUGCUGGCGCUCACGGAGCCAUCCAUAGAGCGCACCCUGCGCUGUAUCUCGUCCCGCACGCUGUACCAAUGCACCCGCAGCUGCGCGGGCGCAGUUCGAGCGCACUGGAGCGCGGGCGGGGCAAGAGCUGCCAACGCGCUGCAUCGGCUGGUGGAGCGGGCCGUAGCGCCCGCCAUGGUGGACGAGCAGCUCGCGCAUCUGAAGGAGCAUAUGGACGAGCUUGAGGACGCUGAUAUAUCAGUAAUACGUCCGGUGGGCGGCGGCGCGAACAUAAUCUGCAACGCGCAAGUGGAGGAGCGCACCAUAGAGCUGCGCAUAGACCUAAGCAAUAGCCACCCGCUGGCCCCGCCGCUGGCGCACCCGCCCGCGCUGCCGCUCGCGCACCACUCGCACUACCUGCGGCUCUACCUCGCCUAUCAGAACGGCUGGGUGGUGACGGCGCUGAAGAUGUGGAUGGAGAUGCUGCGCAGCCGCGUGCAGGCGUCGCCGCAGUGCUACAUCUGCUACUGCCGCCUGCACCCCGCCAGCGGCAAGCUGCCCAACGUGCUGUGCUACACCUGCAACAACCGCUUCCACUCGCAGUGCCUCGUGAGUAGCCGAUAGUGCUACAUCUGCUACUGCCGCCUGCACCCCGCCAGCGGCAAGCUGCCCAACGUGCUGUGCUACACCUGCAACAACCGCUUCCACUCGCAGUGCCUCGUGAGUAGCCGAUAGUGCUACAUCUGCUACUGCCGCCUGCACCCCGCCAGCGGCAAGCUGCCCAACGUGCUGUGCUACACCUGCAACAACCGCUUCCACUCGCAGUGCCUCGUGAGUAGCCGAUAGUGCUACAUCUGCUACUGCCGCCUGCACCCCGCCAGCGGCAAGCUGCCCAACGUGCUGUGCUACACCUGCAACAACCGCUUCCACUCGCAGUGCCUCGUGAGUAGCCGAUAGUGCUACAUCUGCUACUGCCGCCUGCACCCCGCCAGCGGCAAGCUGCCCAACGUGCUGUGCUACACCUGCAACAACCGCUUCCACUCGCAGUGCCUCGUGAGUAGCCGAUAGUGCUACAUCUGCUACUGCCGCCUGCACCCCGCCAGCGGCAAGCUGCCCAACGUGCUGUGCUACACCUGCAACAACCGCUUCCACUCGCAGUGCCUCGUGAGUAGCCGAUAGUGCUACAUCUGCUACUGCCGCCUGCACCCCGCCAGCGGCAAGCUGCCCAACGUGCUGUGCUACACCUGCAACAACCGCUUCCACUCGCAGUGCCUCGUGAGUAGCCGAUAGUGCUACAUCUGCUACUGCCGCCUGCACCCCGCCAGCGGCAAGCUGCCCAACGUGCUGUGCUACACCUGCAACAACCGCUUCCACUCGCAGUGCCUCGUGAGUAGCCGAUAGUGCUACAUCUGCUACUGCCGCCUGCACCCCGCCAGCGGCAAGCUGCCCAACGUGCUGUGCUACACCUGCAACAACCGCUUCCACUCGCAGUGCCUCGUGAGUAGCCGAUAGUGCUACAUCUGCUACUGCCGCCUGCACCCCGCCAGCGGCAAGCUGCCCAACGUGCUGUGCUACACCUGCAACAACCGCUUCCACUCGCAGUGCCUCGUGAGUAGCCGAUAGUGCUACAUCUGCUACUGCCGCCUGCACCCCGCCAGCGGCAAGCUGCCCAACGUGCUGUGCUACACCUGCAACAACCGCUUCCACUCGCAGUGCCUCGUGAGUAGCCGGUAGUGCUACAUCUGCUACUGCCGCCUGCACCCCGCCAGCGGCAAGCUGCCCAACGUGCUGUGCUACACCUGCAACAACCGCUUCCACUCGCAGUGCCUCCGCAAAUGGUUCCAGACGAGCAAGAAGUCGAACUGUCCGCUGUGCCGCACCGUGUUCUAGUACUCGCUGCACGAGCUGCCCGGCUCCGACGAAGAGGGAUGACGUCAUCAUAUUCACAAAAAUACUGUACAAAAAAGAGCGUGUGUGCCGAGCACACGUGUCAGAAGUGAAACUUGUUUGGCAAUAUUCAAAAAUACUAAAAUUAUCGCCUUACUCCAUGACGUGACGGUAUUGCUAUUACGCGACCUUGAAAUUUUACCCUCGCGCCUAAAGAAGUUUCACUUCAAAAAUAGUGUAAUUAUGUAGUAAAUUAAAUGCAAUUUUUGUAUUGUUUUCUAAGAUUUUACAUGUACAUGUUAUGAGUUUAUUAGGUAAUAAUAUACUCGCUAGUGUUGUCUAGAAAUAUAGUUUUAAAUUCACAUUGUUGACUACGUGUAUUCUCGAUUUAUUUAGCAAUAAUUAUUUAUAUACAUUGUACAGAUUGCAAAUUUCUAACUGUUAAACUCUGAUAUUAUUAUAAUAAAUCAUGUUUUUAAAAA